GACGAACGCUGGCGGCGUGCUUAACACAUGCAAGUCGAACGGAAAGGCCCUGCUUUUGUGGGGUGCUCGAGUGGCGGACGGGUGAGUAACACGUGAGUAACCUGCCCUUGACUUUGGGAUAACUUCAGGAAACUGGGGCUAAUACCGGAUAGGAGCUCCUGCUGCAUGGUGGGGGUUGGAAAGUUUCGGCGGUUGGGGAUGGACUCGCGGCUUAUCAGCUUGUUGGUGGGGUAGUGGCUUACCAAGGCUUUGACGGGUAGCCGGCCUGAGAGGGUGACCGGCCACAUUGGGACUGAGAUACGGACCAGACUCCUACGGGAGGCAGCAGUGGGGAAUAUUGCACAAUGGGCGGAAGCCUGAUGCAGCAACGCCGCGUGCGGGAUGACGGCCUUCGGGUUGUAAACCGCUUUCGCCUGUGACGAAGCGUGAGUGACGGUAAUGGGUAAAGAAGCACCGGCUAACUACGUG
rnacentral:rRNA from 1 species